UAAUUUUUUUUAAUUUUAUAUUUUGGUAUUGCAUAUCGGUAGAGUUUGUUGUCAUAAUUUAUGAAUAAUAGAAAUAAUAUGUUAAGGUUCGAUAUUUUUUAUUUUUACGAAACUAAUAAUAUUGAAUUUGGUAUUGAUAUAACGUAUUUUUAUUUCUGUUUUUUGUUUUUUAUUGUUAAGUUGUAUAUUUUUUGUUGUUGGUUUUAAAUAUUUAUUUUUUGUUUAUGAAGGUUGUGUUUUAAACAUUAAUUUUUUUAUUUUUUUUUUUUUUUGAUUAAUUUUUUAAUCUUUUUAUAAUCUUUAUUUUAGUAAUUUGUUUGUUUUAGUUUUUUUUGUUGUUUAAUUUUGUUUUUGAACUAAAUUUGUUGUUAAAUGUUUAUUAAAAACUUAGGUUUUUAUUUAAAGUUGUCUUCUGCUCUAUGAAUUUUUAAAUGGCAGCCUUAGCGUGAUGGCAUAAAAGUAGCGUAAGUGAUUUGUUUUUUUUAAUGAUUUCAAGUAUGAAUGAAGUUUUUAACAAUUUUUUUGUUUGUUUUUUAUUUGAAUUAUUUUUUUUAUUAAAAAUUAUUGAUUGUAUUAUUACAAAGAUAAGUCUUCGGAAAUUUUUUUUUAAUUUUUUAGCUUUUUAAAUUUUUAAAUUUUUCUUGGGGAUGGAUUUUAUGAAAUUUUUAUACUAUUUUUAUUUUUAUAAAUUACUCCGGAGUUAACAGGGUUGUGGACAUAUAAAUAGUUUUUUUAUAUUAGUGUGCUGCGCUACAUCGAUGUUGUAUAUUUUUUGUGAAAAUGGAGAGAGUUUUUUUUUUUUGAGACUGUUCUUCUUGUAUAAAAAGAUAACUUGAUAUUAGUUUAGUUCGUCGUGAGACAGAGCGGUUUAUCUUGUAUAUUUUUUGUUUUUGUUGGGGUUAGUACGAAAGGAAAGUUAUGAGGGUUAAUAUUUAUGACUUUUUUAUUAUGAUGGGGUUUU
rnacentral:rRNA from 1 species